AUUGAACGCUGGCGGCAGGCCUAACACAUGCAAGUCGAACGCGUGGCGGACGGGCGAGUAAUGUCUGGGACACUGCCUGAUGGAGGGGGAUAACUACUGGAAACGUUAGCUAAUACCGCAUACCAUCAGAUGUGCCCAGCUGGGAUUAGCUAGUGGGUGGGGUAACGGCUCACCAAGGCGACGCUCCCUAGCUGGUCUGAGAGGAUGACCAGCCACACUGGAACUGAAACACGGUCCAGACUCCUACGGGAGGCAGCAGUGGGGAAUAUUGCACAAUGGGCGCGAGCCUUAUGCAGCCAUGCCGCGUGUAUGAAGAAGGCCUUCGGGUUGUAAAGUACUUUCAGCGAGGAGGCGUUACCCGCAGAAGAAGCACCGGCUAACACCGUGCCAGCAGCCGCGAUAAUAC
rnacentral:rRNA from 1 species